rnacentral:rRNA from 1 species
AUUGAACGCUGGCGGCAUGCCUUACACAUGCAAGUCGAACGGUAACGGGCCUUCGGGUGCCGACGAGUGGCGAACGGGUGAGUAAUGCAUCGGAACGUGCCAUUGAGUGGGGGAUAACUAUCCGAAAGGAUAGCUAAUACCGCAUAUUCUGUGCGCAGGAAAGCAGGGGAUCGCAAGACCUUGUGCUCUUUGAGCGGCCGAUGUCAAAUUAGCUAGUUGGUGGGGUAAAGGCCCACCAAGGCGACGAUCUGUAGCGGGUCUGAGUGGAUGAUCCGCCACACUGGAACUGACACACGGCCCAUACUCCUACGGGAGGAAUCAGUGGGGAAUUUUGGACAAUGGGGGCAACCCUGAUCCAGCCAUGCCGCGUGAGUGAAGAAGGCCUUCGGGUUGUAAAGCUCUUUCGGCCGGGAAGAAAUCGGUGGGGCUAAUAUCCCUACUGGAUGACGGUACCGGACUAAAAAGCACCGGCUAACUACGUGCCAGCAGCCGCGGUAAUACGUAGGGUGCGAGCGUUAAUCGGAAUUACUGGGCGUAAAGCGUGCGCAGGCGGUUUGUUAAGACAGGCGUGAAAUCCCCGGGCUUAACCUGGGAACUGCGCUUGUGACUGGCAGGCUAGAGUACGGCAGAGGGGGGUGGAAUUCCACGUGUAGCAGUGAAAUGCGUAGAGAUGUGGAGGAACACCGAUGGCGAAGGCAGCCCCCUGGGCCGAUACUGACGCUCAUGCACGAAAGCGUGGGGAGCAAACAGGAUUAGAUACCCUGGUAGUCCACGCCCUCAACGAUGUCAACUAGGUGUUGGGUGGGUAAAACCAUUUAGUACCGGAGCUAACGCGUGAAGUUGUCCGCCUGGGGAGUACGGCCGCAAGGUUA